rnacentral:rRNA from 1 species
GUCGAGCGGACAGAUGGGAGCUUGCUCCCUGAUGUUAGCGGCGGACGGGUGAGUAACACGUGGGUAACCUGCCUGUAAGACUGGGAUAACUCCGGGAAACCGGGGCUAAUACCGGAUGCUUGAUUGAACCGCAUGGUUCAAUUAUAAAAGGUGGCUUUUAGCUACCACUUACAGAUGGACCCGCGGCGCAUUAGCUAGUUGGUGAGGUAACGGCUCACCAAGGCGACGAUGCGUAGCCGACCUGAGAGGGUGAUCGGCCACACUGGGACUGAGACACGGCCCAGACUCCUACGGGAGGCAGCAGUAGGGAAUCUUCCGCAAUGGACGAAAGUCUGACGGAGCAACGCCGCGUGAGUGAUGAAGGUUUUCGGAUCGUAAAACUCUGUUGUUAGGGAAGAACAAGUACCGUUCGAAUAGGGCGGUACCUUGACGGUACCUAACCAGAAAGCCACGGCUAACUACGUGCCAGCAGCCGCGGUAAUACGUAGGUGGCAAGCGUUGUCCGGAAUUAUUGGGCGUAAAGCGCGCGCAGGCGGUUUCUUAAGUCUGAUGUGAAAGCCCCCGGCUCAACCGGGGAGGGUCAUUGGAAACUGGGGAACUUGAGUGCAGAAGAGGAGAGUGGAAUUCCACGUGUAGCGGUGAAAUGCGUAGAGAUGUGGAGGAACACCAGUGGCGAAGGCGACUCUCUGGUCUGUAACUGACGCUGAGGCGCGAAAGCGUGGGGAGCGAACAGGAUUAGAUACCCUGGUAGUCCACGCCGUAAACGAUGAGUGCUAAGUGUUAGAGGGUUUCCGCCCUUUAGUGCUGCAGCAAACGCAU